AUUUUACCCAAAAAUAGAAAAUCAAUGCAUAAGCAAAUAAUAUGCGGCCCAUAUGGGUCCCAUACGGGUCCCAUAUGGGAGUCAUUUGGGAGCUAUAUGGGCUUGCCCAUGUGGGAAUGCCGAUAAGGGUCCCAUAUAGGUCCCAUAUUAUUGCGCUAUCACGAAAAAGAUGUAAACUUGUAUUUAUUUGAUUAAAAACUCAUUUCUUAAAACGUAUGCUGAUCUAAACUGCUAAUAUUUUACCCAAAAAUAGAAAAUCAAUGCAUAAUCAAAUAAUAUGCAGUCCAUAUAGGUCCCAUAUGGGUCCCAUUUGGGCCGCCCAACAAAGCACAAAAUCAUCUACCGGGCUGUUUCUGGGCAAACUCAUAUGGGUAAGCCCAAAUGGGAGUCAUUUGGGACCUUUAUGGGUAAGCCCAUAUGGGAAUGCCCUUAAGGGUCCCAUAUAGGUCCCAUAUUAUUGCGCUAUCAAGAAAAAGAUAUAAACUUUUAUUUAUUUGAUUAAAAACUAAUUUCUUAAAACGUAUGUAUGACAAACUUGAUCUCAACUGCUAAUAUUUUACCAAAAAAUAUACAAUCAAUGCAUAAGCAAAUAAUAUGCAGCCCAUAUGGGUCCCAUACGGGUCCCAUUUGGGCCGCCCAACAAAGGACAAAAUCAGCUAUCGGGCGCACAUUUUUUGAAAAUUCUGUUUUUGAUAUUGCUAUGUUUUCAAUAAUGUAUAUACUAUGAUUAAUAUGUAGUUAUUUUCAAGAGAUAAUUUUAAUUUAAAUAAUCGCGCAGAAAAAUAAAGUAUUUAAAUAAAAUGCGCAUGCGCAGAUGUUAAUUCCGCCUCGCGAAAACAUUCAAAACAAAAUCACUCGAAACGGAAAAUAAAAUAUUCACCACAGCCUCAUUUGCCAACAUCGUAUUUACAAGGAAUGUCCAGCAGUGCAUGACAGAGGCCGGUCACUCCCAUUAAGUCCAGGCAGCUGAAGAGCCUUCCCAAAGACAGUUCAUAGGACAAAAUGCAGUUACACAGAUUUUAACGGUGUUGGAAACAAUGAGAGAUGAGAACAGGGAAAUGAAGCAGAUGCUGCAGUGGCUCUUGGCUAGGUCAGCUACUGAUGACGAGCCAAUGCAACUGCCAGAGAACAUCAGUCUUCCAAUUGGAACAUUUGAGCAAAUGGAUGAGUUUGAAGAGCAUCUUGGUGAUGAAGCUACGAUCCAUCUUUUCUAGGACUGCUGCAUAGUUCAAGCUUUUUUAAGCUUUUUUAUCAAAUAUAUUAAGCAAUGUUGUAAAAUUUAAUUGACAGUUUUUUAUCCAUUGAUCCUAAACCAUUUCUUUAAGGUUCAUCUUCUAAGAAAGCAUACAAUCUUUUUUAUCUGGAAAUGAAACGGUAUAUAUUCCUUUGCAAAAGAAGAAACAGCAUUCCAGUUUUUGAAGGUUUUAAAAGACAUAUAUAUAUAUAUAUAUCAUGUGCAGUUACGAAAAACACUGGAAUGUAUGAAGAUAUCAAAGAUAAUAAUGUGGACUUGUUCUCAAAAAAGGAUUUGCCAUUUAUUUGAGUUUUGGAUUUUUCUGCAGGGUUUUUAAUUUGUAGUUUAUAAAAUAUUUUGUAUAGUCUUGCAAGUAUGUUUUCUACGAAUGUUCUUUGAGUACAUGGUGUGUUAUUUGUAUUGGUUAAAGAUUUAAUAUGCAUGGGCAGAGCUCCAGAUAAGGUUUUGUGAAAUUCUUAAAUUACUACUAGAUUUUCAAAAAGAAUUCUUAACUCUGAAAUUUUAUUCUUAACGUUACUACUUAGUUUUGGAAAAUAAUUCUUAUUUUUUGUAAAUGACCUAAAAAUAAAUAAUAAUGGUUAUUUUCAUGCAAAAAAAAAUCAAAAUAAACAUACUAGCAACUUUAUUUAUACUAGUUCAACAGUGUCUUUUCAGUAUUAUACAAUUUCAUUUUUCAAAAACCUUCAU